UUAGCACUUCUGGGGGUUGAUUUUCAUUAUAGAGAAACCACAGAACUAGCCAGCUAAGUACACUGCUGUAACAUAGCUGUUACUGUGUAUUUGAAGAAACGUGGCUACUGAAUAUACGGUCAUAUCCACCUUUUUCCCAAGAAACCAGUGAGCUUCACCAUGAUGGAUUCUAACCACUGUUUUUCUGCUCCAGUCUCUAUAGGAACCCUUAUUAAAAUUGGCUGAAGAGAAUGAUUUGAAUUAAUUAAACAGAAACUUUUUGAGUGUUCAUAAGAAUAAACAUGAGUUCAGGGUCAAGCUGUGCUGUUGUUGGCUGCCACAACAGCAGCAAAAAAAUGUAGGAAGUCCUGAAAAAUACUUGUUUUGAGCACCAGCAAACCCAAAAAGAAUGUCCGUGUUCGGCAAUGUGUGCCUUGCGUUCUGUUUUAAAUAUUGGUGAGAGGAAACAAGCAUGGUUUGCAAUGAUGAAAUUAAAAUACCUCCUAAAGAAGUUAUGUGUGUCCUCUUAUCAUUUUGUGUGAGCCUUUCAAAGCAUACUCAAUUUGACAUGUACGUGUACACAAACAGUUGACGCAUGUGAAUAACGGCAACUUGCACUACACCUCCUGGCCUACAAGUGUCAGUACAGAGCAGUAAAGCAGGUCUUCUGGUGUGAAGGACGACAAUGAAGAAGAAUCACAACAACACGAAGAACAAUGCUUGGGCAAUCUCUCGCCAAGAUUAGCACCCUUAGACAAAUCCUUAUACUCUUUAAGUACAUGCGGUCGCACGUGUGCAUUUAAUUCUUUUGCACUAUGUAGUUGUUCCACAAGGUGGCAACAGUGACCCAGGACAGUUGAUUCUCAAGAUAGUUGAAGAAUAAACGGAAGAGAUGGAAACGAGUGCAGGUUAGAAAGUACCCGCAUUUGUAUAAUUCUAGUCUUAAAGAGAAUAAGGAUUUGUAUAUGGGUGUUAAUCGUGGCGAGAGACUGCCCAAGCAUUGUUCUUCAUACUGUUGUGAUUCUUCUUCAUCUCUGGUGUUUAUAGUCAAAUGUGUGUAUGUUCCUAGCUGAUAACGUGAUCUUAAACGUGUGAGAAUGGUUUUAAAAAGGCAUAUGGCUCCAUAGUGACUGUCUUUUGACAGUGCCUCACCCAUCAAAGUUUAAUGACCGGGUAGAUGACAUGAAAAUAUGGCCUGACGUUAGCUAAAAUUCUAUAAUUAACUACUUUGUUUUCUCUAAAGGAGUUGAUGGCGAAGAACUCAGAAAUUACAAACGCACAGAAGCAUAUACAGUAAUUACCUGCACAGCAAUUAAAUAAGUCAGGUUUUGUACAGCAACACUGCAACUUUAUUUUUUGAAAGCGGAGCUAGAGCCCAAUUAGAACAUUAGCCAGGCUAAACACCCAGCUUAGGUGACUAGCUUUUGGUGCUUGGUAACAGGUGGGCGUUCAUAUCCUAGAUACAGCUCUGGAUAGGGGUGAAGUUCGGAGGGGUUUUCCGGAGGGGCUAUAAUUAUAUCUGUGAUUAUCAUUUUAGCCACUAUUUUUAUAAUCAUCAGUUAGCCAUUAUUCUAUUUUAACAGUGUGACACCACUGGACAUUGUUUACAGCUUGUCUAUGCUGAUCAUCUGUACUGAGGAAAUUCAUAAUUUGUUCAUAAAAGCUCAAUUUCAUAAGCAUGGUAUACUGUAAUAACACACACUAAUAAACAGUUCCACAGACUCCUGCAUGCUCCCCGCCCCUGUAGGAGUCUAACUAAGGCUUUAUAACAUUUCAUGUCAAGAGGAAUUGGGUCACCUGAGUUCAUGCACCAGAACAAUUUUUCUGGGUUUUUUUUGUUGUUGUUGCAAGUUUUCAGGGAAUUAUGUGAAUUCAAAUCCAAGCCAGAUUACAAUUGUUGGACUCUUGAGCAAAGUCCUUAACACUCAACUACUCUCAGGUGCUAGUCAUGCUUGUCUCCAACUUCGCUUUGAUUUAGGUAAAAAAAAAAUGUAAAAACUCCCUUGGGCUUACACUGCCGAGGCAACACAGUCCCAAUGCCACACCUUUAGUUUUAAACCAUAAACUGUGUGUAUGUACUAUCUCAAGCACGCAAUCUUUAUUCACUAUAUUUCACUGUUUAUACAGAUUUGGAGUAACCAUUUUUAAAUAUGUGGAAAUACACAUAAAAUCCACUUAGAACUGUUGAACAAAAAUAUCAAUGAAACCAAAAUAUGCAAGCUGCUUGUUAGAAAGUGAAAGUAGUAAACAUUUCUGCAACCAACAGGCAGCACAAAAAAAGUUGACAGCCCCACAAACUCGUUCACAGGCUCAUGUUUCUAGGCUCAAACUCGGUCCUAGACACUACAUUCUAAAUAAAAAGCAGGAAAAGCCAUCAAGCUCCUAUAUGAACAGCUAAACAUGAGCCCCAAGCCUGCUGUAACAGCUCAACGCUCACACAUCUUGGGGAAUUUAAAGCAGCUGCCCCUCACCCGUGCCCUCUUUCCUCAUUUCCUCUUUACAAUGUCUCCUACACUGAAGUUCACCCAGAAGUGUAUUAAGCACUGAGC
ensembl:lncRNA